rfam:Gorilla gorilla gorilla genomic chromosome, chr18, whole genome shotgun sequence
GCCUGGCAUGGUGGCAUGCACCUGUAGUCCUAGCUACUCGGGAGGCUGAGGCAGGAGAAUCACUUAGCCCCAGAGUUCUGGGCUGUAGUGCACUAUGUCAAUCAGGUGUCUGCACUAAGUUGCAUGGCAAUAUAGUGACCUCCAAGGAGUGACGGACAAUCAGGUUGCCUAAGGAGGGGUGAACUGGCCCAGGUAGGAAAUAGAGAAGGUCAAAACUUCAGUGCUGAUCAGUGGUGGGAUUAGGCCUGCAAAUAGCCACUGCACUCCAGCCUGGGCAACAUGGCAAGACCCUGUCUCUU